UGGUUUCGUAGCUAUAGGACCUAUGAGAU
rnacentral:piRNA from 1 species